rnacentral:rRNA from 1 species
GUAGGGGUGCAAGCGUUAUCCGGAAAUCAUUGGGCGUAAAGAGCUCGUAGGCGGUUCAGCAAGUCGGCUGUGAAAUCCCGAGGGCUUAACCUCGGAACUGCAGUCGAUACUGCUGUGACUAGAGUCCGGUAGAGGAGAAUGGAAUUCCCGGUGUGGCGGUGAAAUGCGCAGAUAUCGGGAGGAACACCAGUAGCGAAGGCGGUUCUCUGGGCCGGUACUGACGCUGAGGAGCGAAAGCGUGGGUAGCAAACAGGAUUAGAUACCCUGGUAGUCCACGCCGUAAACGUUGGACACUAGGUGUGGCGUUCCGACCAACGGGUGCCGUGCCGAAGCUAACGCAUUAAGUGUCCCGCCUGGGGAGUACGGCCGCAAGGCUA